CUGUACGAAAAAAAAAAAAUCAAAAAAAAUUACACAAAACCACAUGUCCUUCACAUCCGAAACAAAACAAGCUCACAGAUGAUUAAAACAAAACAGCACAACUUCUUCUCUCUCUAGGGUUUGAGCAAAAAAACAAAAACAAUAAAGGAGAGAGAAAGAGGGUUAUGGAGGUCAUUGCCGAGUCGGAUAAGGAUCAGCUUCGCGUGAAGAAGGAGGCCUUGGAGGCUGUGCUCCUGCAGUGCCAGAGAGCUCUCGAAUUGCUCACUAACACCGGCUUUGUCGACGACGCCGACACCGAUGCUGCGGCGGCGGACGACGGCGAUGGUUCGUCGUCGCCGUGUCGGGAUAAGGAGACCGAUGAGUUGUGCCACCUCCUUAAAUCUAGAGUUGAAUGCCCUGAUUUCCUAAAAAAGCUCGAGAGUGCCCAGGCUUUGGUUCCACAAAAUGUGGCUGAAGAAGGGAGUUCUUGGGACAUGGUCAGUGAAAAUGAUCUAUGGGAAGGUGGUAGUUCCGUGAUGGACCAAGAGGACUAUGUUUUAGUUAGGCAAGAAGAUAUAGCAGAGGGUAUUGCAUGUUUCAUGGCCGCAUAUCUGUUAUCCCUUAAACAGACCAAGGAUUUCACCCCUAAUCAACUCCAGGACGCCCUGUGCAAGACAUUCUCUGUGAAAAAGAAAAAGGGUAAGCUUCGGAAGGCAUGGGAUGGAAGCAAAGUCAUCUAUAAUGUAGCAUCUUGGGGAGCGACAGCCAUUGGGACUGAAUUGAGUAACAAGUCUAACCUUGACCCAACUUGCUGUUGGUAAUUAGAGGUGUCUCAUAAUGGAAAAGGUGCUAAGCUGCUAAAUACAAGUCCGUUGGUUGAGAUGCUGGCUCGUAGACCUUAGAAAAUGGUUCAUUAUUGACCUACCAAAACCGUAGGAAAUAUUGCUGCUGUGGUUUUCCUUUCACUAGGAUUUACCAAAACCCCACGCUCCUUAGUGCCGCCUCAACAGCCUUUUGGACUUCGUGUCAAGUUAUCUCGAAGCUUUUCUAACUUGCUUGUUGAAGUUCUGAUGCUUGGGGACUCUUCAGUGUUGUAUUUGUGUUUGGCAUGGUGUUCCAUAUAAUUUUGUAACCUAAUUACCAUUCUUAUUGUGCUACGGCUCCAUUGAUUGCUCUGUCAUAAUUCAAGCUUGUAAAUAUUCGUCAAUUUUUUUUCUUGGUCUGGAAAUAUUCUUCAGUUAAAGCAUUUCUAUGUGCAGUUACAGAUCCAGUUGGAUCAUCUUAGUGCAA